rnacentral:rRNA from 1 species
CGGUAACGCGGGGCAACCUGGCGACGAGUGGCGAACGGGUGAGUAAUGUAUCGGAACGUGCCCAGUUGUGGGGGAUAACUGCUCGAAAGAGCAGCUAAUACCGCAUACGACCUGAGGGUGAAAGCGGGGGAUCGCAAGACCUCGCGCAAUUGGAGCGGCCGAUAUCAGAUUAGGUAGUUGGUGGGGUAAAGGCCCACCAAGCCAACGAUCUGUAGCUGGUCUGAGAGGACGACCAGCCACACUGGGACUGAGACACGGCCCAGACUCCUACGGGAGGCAGCAGUGGGGAAUUUUGGACAAUGGGCGCAAGCCUGAUCCAGCCAUGCCGCGUGCGGGAAGAAGGCCUUCGGGUUGUAAACCGCUUUUGUCAGGGAAGAAACGAGUUUCUCUAAUACAGAGACUUAAUGACGGUACCUGAAGAAUAAGCACCGGCUAACUACGUGCCAGCAGCCGCGGUAAUACGUAGGGUGCAAGCGUUAAUCGGAAUUACUGGGCGUAAAGCGUGCGCAGGCGGUUAUGCAAGACAGAGGUGAAAUCCCCGGGCUCAACCUGGGAACUGCCUUUGUGACUGCAUAGCUAGAGUACGGUAGAGGGGGAUGGAAUUCCGCGUGUAGCAGUGAAAUGCGUAGAUAUGCGGAGGAACACCGAUGGCGAAGGCAAUCCNUNGACCUGUACUGACGCUCAUGCACGAAAGCGUGGGGAGCAAACAGGAUUAGAUACCCUGNAGUCCACGCCCUAAACGAUGUCAACUGGUUGUUGGGAGGGUUUCUUCUCAGUAACGUAGCUAACGCGUGAAGUUGACCGCCUGGGG